rnacentral:rRNA from 1 species
CGGGGGGGGUAAGCGUUGUUCGGAAUUACUGGGCGUAAAGGGCUCGUAGGCGGCCAACUAAGUCAGACGUGAAAUCCCUCAGCUUAACUGGGGAACUGCGUCUGAUACUGGAUGGCUUGGAUUUGGGAGAGGGAUGCGGAAUUCCAGGUGUAGCGGUGAAAUGCGUAGAUAUCUGGAGGAACACCGGUGGCGAAGGCGGCAUCCUGGACCAACAUUGACGCUGAGGAGCGAAAGCCAGGGGAGCAAACGGGAUUAGAUACCCCGGUAGUCCUGGCCCUAAACGAUGAAUGCUUGGUGUGGCGGGUAUCGAUCCCUGCCGUGCCGAAGCUAACGCAUUAAGCAUUCCGCCUGGGGAGUACGGUCGCAAGGCUG